rnacentral:lncRNA from 1 species
UUGAGACAGGACUCACUGUUUAGCCCUGGCUGGUCUUGAACUCUCAGAAACCUGCCUGCUUCUGGGGAUUAAGGUGUGCAUCACCAAGCCCAGCAAUUAUCUUGUUUGUGCAGUGCUGGUGGUUGCACGCAGGACCUUGUGCGUGUUAGACUCCCAUUCUACCAUGAAGCCGAAUCCCGGGAUGGUUUUGGAAAAGCCUUCCUGGGAAUUUGUAUCUAAGAAAAGGAUGCAAGCUGAGGUCUAAAGACCUUGAAGUUCUCACAUUUCUGCUGCAUCGGUUUCUCAGCUGUUCUGAACUCAACCAGCAGGGGGAGCCAGAACACCGCGUUCCUCUGGGUGUCGGGUACCUAAGGAGCCUCUCUGCUGCUGCCUGACAACAGAUGACCUCCAGGUGUCUUUUCUGCCUGCUCAAGCCCGUUCUUUUCUUCAGAGGAAGUAAUGCUGAAGUCAUGCCAUGUUCCAGGGACUGUCGCAGUGAAGGAGAUACAGUCAGGAAUAAAAUAGAUCACCCUCUGCUUGCGUGGAGCUGGAGGCACCAACUGUCCUGCUUUGUCUGGGACCCUUCUGAUUUGGGCAAUGAAGUUCCAGCAUCCUGGGAGACACCUCAGUCCUAGGAAACAGGCAGAGUUUGUCUCUAAGUUGGAGCAUAACCAUUUGCCUGGGAGAAAGAGGAGCACUUCCCAUUCAUUGCAGGUAAGAAUCCUUAACCCAUCUGGGGCUGAAGUGAUGAUUGGUGCUGGGAGAUGAAGGAUGCCGUGAGCAUUGACACUACCCCCACCACUGCCAUGAUUGCCUUUCUCUCAGUUUGCCCAAGUCAGCAGUGGGAUCUACCUACUUUGCUAAUGAAGAGUAGGUGGCUGAGCUGUCCUCCCAGUGUGACUCCAGGCAGCUGCAGAUACCACUGAGGCUUUUAAUGAAAUAGUCUGGAUGGCUGUUAGGAUGAACCUUGUUGUAUUAGGUAGCUCAUCAACACCCACAACUACCUGGGAGCCAGAUGCCUGAAAGAACACUUGCUUUUUUGUACUAAGAUCUGACUCUUAAUCUUUUAGACAUGUUUGGGGGUGGGGAGUGUGGAUGACCUUUUUGGCUUUAACAGUAUCUGCUCUGUAUUGUAAGUGCAGCCAAGAAACUCUUCCUCAAGCUUUAGAAGCCCCAGUAAGUGCCAUUCACAGUCUGCUUGUUGUCCUACUGGUCCCAGGGACUUUUUACCUGCAGAUCUUGGCUGAGCUUUCCUUGGUGGCCUGUGUGGGGCUGGAGACAUG